UACGUAGGGAGCAAGCGUUGUCCGGAAUCAUUGGGCGUAAAGCGCGCGUAGGCGGCCCGGUAAGUCCGCUGUGAAAGUCCAGGGCUCAACCCUGGAAAGCCGGUGGAUACUGCCGGGCUAGAGUCCGGGAGAGGCGAGUGGAAUUCCUGGUGUAGCGGUGGAAUGCGCAGAUAUCAGGAGGAACACCGGUGGCGAAGGCGGGUCUCUGGGCCGAUACUGACGCUGAGGAGCGAAAGCGUGGGGAGCGAACAGG
rnacentral:rRNA from 1 species